rnacentral:rRNA from 1 species
AACCAACCGGGAUUGCCUUAGUAACGGCGAGUGAAGCGGCAAAAGCUCAAAUUUGAAAUCUGGUACCUUCGGUGCCCGAGUUGUAAUUUGGAGAGGGCAACUUUGGGGCCGUUCCUUGUCUAUGUUCCUUGGAACAGGACGUCAUAGAGGGUGAGAAUCCCGUGUGGCGAGGAGUGCGGUUCUUUGUAAAGUGCCUUCGAAGAGUCGAGUUGUUUGGGAAUGCAGCUCUAAGUGGGUGGUAAAUUCCAUCUAAAGCUAAAUAUUGGCGAGAGACCGAUAGCGAACAAGUACAGUGAUGGAAAGAUGAAAAGAACUUUGAAAAGAGAGUGAAAAAGUACGUGAAAUUGUUGAAAGGGAAGGGCAUUUGAUCAGACAUGGUGUUUUGUGCCCUCUGCUCCUUGUGGGUAGGGGAAUCUCGCAUUUCACUGGGCCAGCAUCAGUUUUGGUGGCAGGAUAAAUCCAUAGGAAUGUAGCUUGCCUCGGUAAGUAUUAUAGCCUGUGGGAAUACUGCCAGCUGGGACUGAGGACUGCGACGUAAGUCAAGGAUGCUGGCAUAAUGGUUAUAUGCCGCCCGUCUUGAAACACGGACCUCCUGUGUGAGG